GUGAAAGCAGAGCUGAGAAAAUGUGCCUGCUGGUUGCUGGCUGGGGAACUGAAGCCCUGUUUCUCUGUCGUGCCUCUGGUGUAAUGUGCUUGACCUCGCCAAUGUCCGAAGAUACACUUGAUCUCCCGGCUGGAAUGAAUGUACAGGUGAAUCUAAAAGUACGGGAGAUCUUAACUGGAUGUACC